ensembl:lncRNA
AAGAGUGACGUAUGUGCAGGGGAUUGUUGCUCUGUUUCCAUAUCUGGAAGACCCAUAUUCACAACAUGGAUAUGAACAUUACUAUGAUCCAGAGAGCGGUUCAGGAUACCUUGCGUGGCGGUUGAAGACCAUUCAAAGAAAAGCUGCAGAGGAAAGAAGUGUCUCAGUUUCCAAAUCUCCUAAAAUUGGCGGGCCAGGCCGUGGUCGAUCCAGACCACUCACCACUGAGACAGUGUUAUCAGAUGAGGAUGUAAAAGCAGCUAUUGCUCUUUUGAAACACUCUGCGGAUGAAGACACGAUCCGUGAAAAGAUGAAAGCUACCUUCAUUUAUCGGCAUUCAAUGGUCAGCGAUGAUAAGAAUGCAGCAGAUGUCUUCAUAGUCUUCCCGCGGUUUCUGGACACACCAGGACUGGUAAGACAUCUUCAUUUGUUGAAUCACCGAAAUAUUCCAUGCAGCUUGCAAUUUCAC